rfam:Pectobacterium wasabiae WPP163, complete genome.
CAGCAAUAUGGAGAGUACGGCGAGUGGCCAAAUGAGGUAACUAAGCCAUUGCAGCCAGCUCGGUAUAUAGCUCAUGAUCUGGGGGAUCCAGUUAUUAAGCCGGGUGAAAAGCCACCAAAAAGCGCCGCCCAUCAGCACGAUGUUCAUGAGUAAAGGAAGGAUAACGAAACGUCGGAUACCAGGCAGUGAGAUCAGGCGCCAUCCGGCAAGAAAAUAGUGUAUACCACUGCGAGUUUGGUCUGCUGUAUUGCCGUAAGGCGGUUUUUCGGAAGACAUUGUGACAAUGUUCUCAGUCAUUUGUUUGUUGAGGCAUCAUAUCGGGAUGAUCUUAUGCUGGCUAGCCCAUAUUUGGAUGAAAAAACAGCAAAAAAAUGCGUUCUAUCUAUCUUUAUUGCCAUAAAGUACCGCGCAGGCUUGCACUUGUGUACUCAGGCAAAUAGAGU